GCCGACCUAGCUCAAUGGUAGAGCAAUACUUUCGUAAAGUAUAGGUUUGGGGUUCAACUCCCCGGGUCGGCU
rnacentral:tRNA from 1 species